UCUAGAUCUUGAUCAUCAUUUUCACCUGUGUAUUAUGCGUGCAAGUUUUCAGAUUGACGACAAAGCUUUAAUAAUACCUGGUUCAGCAAAGAUGUUCCCAAUGAAUGAGGAAUGCUUCAACUACGUACCCUAAUUAAUUUCUUGUUAUAAGGGAUUGCUAAUUCUGUUCUUUAAUACUUCAGAUAGUAACUUAUCUAUUGCUUGACAGAGUACUUGGUAUGUGUUUGAGGUGCCUAUCUGAGUUCUUACAUGACUUUAGAUUGAAAAUUAAUCUAUUUAUGUUCAAAGGAGAAACAAAGGUUCUUGUUUUUAGAUCUGGCCGGAAAGAAAGAAUAUGCAGCAUUGUUUGUAGUCCUAAAGAAAGUAGAAUAUUAUCCACUACUUUAGCUAAGCUUUUAAUCCGUACUAGCACUCUUUUUCUUCAGAACAUUUCAAGAUUGCCUAAUUUUUUGGCUUUUGUUUUCUUUUAUUAUAUUUUCUUCAUUUAGGUGGCAUUUCUUUUUGUUCACUGUAAGACCAAUCGAAUGUUGAACGUCUUUUUGGGGAUUAA